rnacentral:rRNA from 1 species
UUGCGGUUAAAAAGCUCGUAGUUGGAUUUCUGUUGAGGAUGACCGGUCCGCUCUUUGAGCGCGUAUCUGGUUCAGCCUUGGCAUCCUCUUGGGGAACGCUACUGUGCUUGAUUGCAUGGGGCGGUAUUCAAGACUUUUACUUUGAGGAAAUUAGAGUGUUCACUGCAAGCGUUAGCAAUUGAAUACAUUAGCAUGGAAUAAUAAUAUAGGACCUUGGUACUAUUUUGUUGGUUUCUAGAACUAAGGUAAUGAUUAAUAGGGACAAUUGGGGGCAUUCGUAUUAACGCGUCAGAGGUGGAAUUCUUAGAUUGCGUUACGACGAACUACUGCGAAAGCAUUUGCCAAGGAUGUUUUCAUUGAUCAAGAACGAAAGUAUGGGGAUCGAAGACGCUUAGAUACCGUCGUAGUCUAUACCAUAAACUAUGCCAACUAGAGAUUGGAGGUCGUUCUCUUUAUGACUCCUUCAGCACCUUAUGAGAAAUCAAAGUCUUUGGGUUCCGGGGGGAGUAUGGUCGCAAGGCUGAAACUUAAAGGAAUUGACGGAAGGGCACCACCAGGAGUGGAGCCUGCGGCUUAAUUUGACUCAACAC